GAACUGCGAUAAGUAAUGUGAAUUGCAGAAUUCAGUGAAUCAUCGAGUCUUUGAACGCACAUUGCGCCCCCUGGCAUUCCGGGGGGCAUGCCUGUCCGAGCGUCAUUGCUGCCCUUCAAGCCCGGCUUGUGUGUUGGGUCGUCGUCCCCUCCGGGGGACGGGCCCGAAAGGCAGCGGCGGCACCGCGUCCGGUCCUCGAGCGUAUGGGGCUUUGUCACCCGCUCGAUAAGGACCGGCCGGGCGCCAGCCGGCGUCUUCAACCUUUUUUUCUCAGGUUGACCUCGGAUCAGGUAGGGAUACCCGCUGAACUUAAGC
rnacentral:misc_RNA from 1 species